rnacentral:misc_RNA from 1 species
CAAAAUUGACCAAUGCCAUUCUGGUUGAUGCUAAAAAACCCUUAGCAGAUUCAACCUGUACAUCUGUACAUUCAUAAACUGGCCUUUUCCUUGCCAAAUAACUUUCUCCCACAAGCUUUGCAUGAUAAGGACUCAAGGAUGAAAAUAACUCUUUGCGUUUUGGCAAUUGUGGAAUUGUUGGUGAUUUUACCUGGUUCUUGU